rnacentral:rRNA from 1 species
GGCGUGCAGUCGAACGAAUCCCAUCUGGGUAACUGGGUGGGGGAAGUGGCGAAAGGGGCAGUAAGGCGUGGGCAACCUACCCCGGGGAUCGGGAUAGCCGUCCUAACGGACGGAUAAUACCGGGCGAUCUGGCGAGGAGGCAUCUUCUGGCCAGGAAAUGAAUUUCGCCUCGGGAGGGGCUCACGUAGUAUUAGCUUGUUGGCGGGGUAACGGCCCACCAAGGCCAAGAUGCUUAGCGGGUGUGAGAGCACGACCCGCGCCACUGGCACUGAGACACUGGCCAGACUCCUACGGGAGGCUGCAGUCGAGGAUCUUCGGCAAUGGGCGCAAGCCUGACCGAGCGACGCCGCGUGUGCGAUGAAGGCCUUCGGGUUGUAAAGCACUGUCGAGGGGGAGAAAAGCCCGCAAGGGUCUGAUCUAUCCCUGGAGGAAGCACGGGCUAAGUUCGUGCCAGCAGCCGCGGUAAGACGAACCGUGCGAACGUUGUUCGGAUUCACUGGGCUUAAAGGGCGCGUAGGCGGACGGUCAAGUCGGGGGUGAAAUCUUUCAGCUUAACUGGAAACGUGCCUUCGAUACUGAUCGUCUCGAGGGAGGUAGGGGCAUGCGGAACUUCCGGUGGAGCGGUGAAAUGCGUAGAUAUCGGAAGGAACGCCGGUGGCGAAAGCGGCGUGCUGGACCUCUUCUGACGCUGAGGCGCGAAAGCCAGGGGAGCGAACGGGAUUAGAUACCCCGGUAGUCCUGGCCCUAAACGAUGGGUACUAGAUUGUGGACUUAACAUGGGUUCCCAAUCGAAGCUAAAGUGUUAAGUACCCCGCCUGGGGAGUAUGGUCGCAAGGCUGAAACUCAAGGAUUGACGGGGGCUCACACAAGCGGUGGA